UACGUAGGGGCCUAGCGUUGUCCGGAUUUACUGGGCGUAAAGAGCGCGCAGGCGGUCGUGCAAGUCGCGUGUGAAAGCCCCCGGCUCAACUGGGGAGGGUCACGCGAUACUGAUCGACUCGAAGGCAGGAGAGGGUAGUGGAAUUCCCGGUGUAGUGGUGAAAUGCGUAGAUAUCGGGAGGAACACCAGUGGCGAAGGCGACUACCUGGCCUGUUUCUUGACGCUGAGGCGCGAAAGCUAGGGGAGCAAACGGG
rnacentral:rRNA from 1 species